GACGAACGCUGGCGGCGUGCUUAACACAUGCAAGUCGAACGGAAAGGCCCUGCUUUUGUGGGGUGCUCGAGUGGCGAACGGGUGAGUAACACGUGAGUAACCUGCCCUUGACUUUGGGAUAACUUCAGGAAACUGGGGCUAAUACCGGAUAGGAGCUCCUGCUGCAUGGUGGGGGUUGGAAAGUUUCGGCGGUUGGGGAUGGACUCGCGGCUUAUCAGCUUGUUGGUGGGGUAGUGGCUUACCAAGGCUUCGACGGGUAGCCGGCCUGAGAGGGUGACCGGCCACAUUGGGACUGAGAUACGGCCCAGACUCCUACGGGAGGCAGCAGUGGGGAAUAUCGCACAAUGGGCGGAAGCCUGAUGCAGCAACGCCGCGUGCGGGAUGACGGCCUUCGGGUUGUAAACCGCUUUCGCCUGUGACGAAGCGUGAGUGACGGUAAUGGGUAAAGAAGCACCGGCUAACUACGUG
rnacentral:rRNA from 1 species